CUCAGUUACUAAAGAAGGCUCAAGAAACGCUAAAGAUAAGCUUUAAACAAAACUUUUGAUGUUAUUGAUAUAAUUCAAAAUGGAGGGAUUACGUUGUAAUAUACACAUACUUAUAUGCCUAGGAUAUCUGACGUCUUGUCUUGCGGCUCCAGGAUUUUCAUCUAAGAAAAUCCGCAGUGUACCAACACUGAAUAUAAAUGGAGACGACCCGCUGUUACUUUCAAAUUUUGAAAACAUUGGAAAGGAUCUAAGUGAAGUAAAUGAUACUGAGAACUUUACAACAGAGAACUAUGAAAAUACUGAAAUUACCACAAGCGAAACUGAGAUGGACGAAGCUACUACCCCUAGUUUCGAAAACGAGUCCACUGAAUCGACGACAGAAUCAGAUUUUUUAUUUCAACCAUUAGAUGAGUAUAUACAAGAACCCAUCAAUAGUCCAGAUCUUUUAGCAUCUCUUAUUGGCUGAUACGCCGUGCUUCACCGCCUCUACAUACAACAUUACAUAUUUCUGUAUCAAGAAAAACUCGGAAAAACUCGGAGACAUCAUCAAGAUUGUACAUAUAAAAUGAGUUAAGCAUUUUUCCAUCGUCAUCAAAGUCCUGGUAUAAUAAACUUGUUGUUUUC